rnacentral:lncRNA from 10 species
GCACGGGACUGUCCUCCUGACCCCUGCUGGUCCAGAAUGUUCUUUCCCAAGGUGGCUGGCUCCCUCGUCUCUCAGGCCCUUCCUGAAUCUUCAGUGUCCUUCUCUCACCUUCCCUGACCACCUCUUCAUUCACCUCCUCACGAGCCCGCCCUGUUUCUGGUUUCUUUUUCUUUUUUUUGAGAGUCUCGAUCUGUCGCCCAGGCUGGAGUGCAGUGGCGCGAUCUCAGCUCACUGCAACCUCCGCCUCCCAGGUUCAAGCGAUUCUCCUGCCUCAGCCUUCUGAGUAGCUGGGAUUACAGGUUUGUGCCAUCACGUCCGGCUAAUUUUUGUAUUUUUAAUAGAGAUGGGGUUUCACCAUGAUGGCCAGGUUUUGAACUCCUUAUCUCAGGUGAUCCGCCCACUUCGGCCUCCCAAAGUGCUGGGGUUACAGGCAUGAGCCACUGCGCCUGGCCUGGUUUCUUCUUUUUACAGCAUUUAUGCAUUUGAUAUGCAUAUGCUUGUGGCUGGCUCACUCCUGUGGAAGGGAAGGAUUGCCGGGGCUGUGUCACCAGCACCUGGGACAAGGCAAGUGGCCCUAGUGCCAGGCUCGUGCCAGGCCCUGGGCUCCAAAAGAAGAAGGUGGGGAGGGAGGUGACAGGGACACAGGCCAUCUGGGGGUGGCUGUCAGAGUAGUGCUGGGAACAGCAGGUGAAGCCCAGAGGAGGAGAGGAGGAGGAGAGAGAGGAGGGGGAUGGGGGAUGGG